rnacentral:lncRNA from 1 species
AAUAUCUGUUAGACACUUAAUCACAUGCCAAGCACUGCUGAGUGCUUAAGGAUACAAACAUAAAAACUCCGAUAGUCCCUGCCCUCCAGGAGUUUACAUUCUAAAAGAGAAGACCACUGUGGUACAAGGCAGGGGUAGCCAGGGAGCUGGACUACAGUUAGAGAUAUCCCAGGGAGGAUGACUGGCACCUUGGAUGGACAUGCAUUUCCCCCAGGAAUGACUUACCUAAACAAAUUUGGACUGAGGAUCAGAAGACCUGCGUUCAAAUUCUAGCAUUGCUUCUUGCUAUCUGUAUGAAUUCAGGCAACACAGCUGUUACUUAAUAAAUGUCUAUUGUUG